GAUGAACGCUGGCGGCGUGCCUAAUACAUGCAAGUCGAGCGAACGGACGAGAAGCUUGCUUCUCUGGUGUUAGCGGCGGACGGGUGAGUAACACGUGGAUAACCUACCUAUAAGACUGGGAUAACUUCGGGAAACCGUAGCUAAUACCGGAUAAUAUUUUGAACCGCAUGGUUCAAAAGUGAAAGACGGUCUUGCCGUCAAUUAUAGAUGGAUCCGCGCUGCAUUAGCUAGUUGGUAAGGUAACGGCUUACCAAGGCAACGAUGCAUAGCCGACCUGAGAGGGUGAUCGGCCACACUGGAACUGAGACACGGUCCAGACUCCUACGGGAGGCAGCAGUAGGGAAUCUUCCGCAAUGGGCGAAAGCCUGACGGAGCAACGCCGCGUGAGUGAUGAAGGUCUUCGGAUCGUAAAACUCUGUUAUUAGGGAAGAACAUAUGUGUAAGUAACUGUGCACAUCUUGACGGUACCUAAUCAGAAAGCCACGGCUAACUACGUG
rnacentral:rRNA from 1 species